GACGAACGCUGGCGGCGUGCUUAACACAUGCAAGUCGAACGGAAAGGCCCUGCUUUUGUGGGGUGCUCGAGUGGCGAACGGGUGAGUAACACGUGAGUAACCUGCCCUUGACUUUGGGAUAACUUCAGGAAACUGGGGCUAAUACCGGAUAGGAGCUCCUGCUGCAUGGUGGGGGUUGGAAAGUUUCGGCGGUUGGGGAUGGACGCGCGGCUUAUCAGCUUGUUGGUGGGGUAGUGGCUUACCAAGGCUUUGACGGGUAGGCGGCCUGAUAGGGUGACCGGCCACAUCGGGACUGAGAUACGGCACAGACUCCUACGGGAGGCAGCAGUGGGGAAUAUUGCACAAUGGGCGGAAGCCUGAUGCAGCAACGCCGCGUGCGGGAUGACGGCCUUCGGGUUGUAAACCGCUUUCGCCUGUGACGAAGCGUGAGUGACGGUAAUGGGUAAAGAAGCACCGGCUAACUACGUG
rnacentral:rRNA from 1 species